rnacentral:rRNA from 1 species
UACGAAGGGGGCUAGCGUUGUUCGGAAUUACUGGGCGUAAAGCGCGCGCAGGCGGUUCUUCAAGUCAGUGGUGAAAGCCCGGAGCUCAACUCCGGAAUUGCCAUUGAAACUGUAGAACUUGAGGAUGAGAGAGGUGAGUGGAAUUCCCAGUGUAGAGGUGAAAUUCGUAGAUAUUGGGAAGAACACCGGUGGCGAAGGCGGCUCACUGGCUCAUUUCUGACGCUCAGGCGCGAAAGCGUGGGGAGCGAACAGG